CAUGAAGUCGGAAUUGCUAGUAAUCGCAGAUCAGCAUGCUGCGGUGAAUACGUUCCCGGGCCUUGUACACACCGCCCGUCACACCAUGGGAGUCGGUAACACCCAAAGUUGGUAGCCUAACCGCAAGGAGGGCGCCGCCUAAGGUGGGAUUGAUGACUGGGGUGAAGUCGUAACAAGGUAUC
rnacentral:rRNA from 1 species